CAAACUCGCAUUUACCACUGCAAUGUUGGCACUGAUGGUCAUGUUAGUCUCGGAAUGUUGAAGGAUGGUUGGAGUCCGACACUAACCAUUACCAAAGUGCUAACUGCAAUUAGAUCACUUUUAACAAAUCCUGACCCUUAUAACGCUGUUGUCCCUGGCAUUGCUCACUUGUAUUUGGAAAACAAAGCAAAACAUG